GGCGAACGCUGGCGGCGUGCCUAAUACAUGCAAGUAGAACGCUGAAGGAGGAGCUUGCUUCUCCGGAUGAGUUGCGAACGGGUGAGUAACGCGUAGGUAACCUGCCUGGUAGCGGGGGAUAACUAUUUGAAACGAUAGCUAAUACCGCAUAAGAGUAGAUGUCGCAUGACAUUUGCUUAAAAGGUGCACCUGCACCACUACCAGAUGGCCCUGCGUUGUAUUAGCUAGUUGGUGAGGUAACGGCUCACCAAGGCAACGAUACAUAGCCGACCUGAGAGGGUAAGCUGCCACGCUGGGACUGAGGCACGGCCCAGACUACUACGGGAGGCAGCAGUAGGGAAUCUUCGGGAAUAGACGGAAGGCGGACCGAGCAACGCCGCGUGAGUGAAGAAGGUUGUCGGAUCGUGAAGCUCUGUUGUAAGAGAAGAACGAGAGGGUGAUUGGAAAGUGCACACUGUGACGGUAUCUUACCAGAAAGGGACGGCUAACUACGUG
rnacentral:rRNA from 1 species